rnacentral:rRNA from 1 species
AGUCGAACGAACACUUUGGACAGAUUCUUCGGAUGAAGUCCUUAGUGACUGAGUGGCGGACGGGUGAGUAACGCGUGGGUAACCUGCCUCAUACAGGGGGAUAACAGUUAGAAAUGGCUGCUAAUACCGCAUAAGCGCACGGUACUGCAUGGUACAGUGUGAAAAACUCCGGUGGUAUGAGAUGGACCCGCGUUGGAUUAGCUAGUUGGCAGGGUAACGGCCUACCAAGGCGACGAUCCAUAGCCGGCCUGAGAGGGUGGACGGCCACAUUGGGACUGAGACACGGCCCAGACUCCUACGGGAGGCAGCAGUGGGGAAUAUUGCACAAUGGGGGAAACCCUGAUGCAGCGACGCCGCGUGAGCGAAGAAGUAUUUCGGUAUGUAAAGCUCUAUCAGCAGGGAAGAAAAUGACGGUACCUGACUAAGAAGCCCCGGCUAACUACGUGCCAGCAGCCGCGGUAAUACGUAGGGGGCAAGCGUUAUCCGGAUUUACUGGGUGUAAAGGGAGCGUAGACGGAAUGGCAAGUCUGAUGUGAAAGGCCGGGGCUCAACCCCGGGACUGCAUUGGAAACUGUCAAUCUAGAGUACCGGAGGGGUAAGUGGAAUUCCUAGUGUAGCGGUGAAAUGCGUAGAUAUUAGGAGGAACACCAGUGGCGAAGGCGGCUUACUGGACGGUAACUGACGUUGAGGCUCGAAAGCGUGNGGAGCAAACAGNAUUAGAUACCCUGGUAGUCCACGCCGU